rnacentral:rRNA from 1 species
GAUGAACGCUGGCGGCGUGCCUAAUACAUGCAAGUCGAGCGAACAGACGAUGAUCUUGCUCCUCUGACGUUAGCGGCGGACGUGUGAGUAACACGUGUAUAACCUACCUAUAUUACUGGUAUAACUUCGGGAAACCGGAUCUAAUACCGUAUAAUAUAUUGAACCGCAUGGUUCAAUAGUUAAAUACGGUUUUUCUGUCACUUAUAGAUGCAUCCUCGCCGCAUUAGCUAGUUGGUAAGUUAACGGCUUACCAAGGCAACGAUGCGUAGCCGACGUGAGAGGGUGAUCGGCCUCACUGGAACGGAGACAGGGACAAGACGACUACGGGAGGCAGCAGAAGGGAAUAUUACGCAAUGGGCGAAAGCAUGACGGAGCAAGGCGGAGUGAGUGAUGAAGGUGUUGGGAUCGUAAAAAUCUGUUAUUAGGGAAGAACAAAUGUGUAAGUAAAUAUGCACGUAUUGACGGUAACUAAUAAGAAAGCAACGGCUAACUACGUG